UUGAAGAGUUUGAUCAUGGCUCAGAUUGAACGCUGGCGGCAGGCCUAACACAUGCAAGUCGAGCGGUAGCACAGAGAGCUUGCUCUCGGGUGACGAGCGGCGGACGGGUGAGUAAUGUCUGGGAAACUGCCUGAUGGAGGGGGAUAACUACUGGAAACGGUAGCUAAUACCGCAUAAUGUCGCAAGACCAAAGUGGGGGACCUUCGGGCCUCAUGCCAUCAGAUGUGCCCAGAUGGGAUUAGCUAGUAGGUGGGGUAACGGCUCACCUAGGCGACGAUCCCUAGCUGGUCUGAGAGGAUGACCAGCCACACUGGAACUGAGACACGGUCCAGACUCCUACGGGAGGCAGCAGUGGGGAAUAUUGCACAAUGGGCGCAAGCCUGAUGCAGCCAUGCCGCGUGUGUGAAGAAGGCCUUCGGGUUGUAAAGCACUUUCAGCGGGGAGGAAGGCGGUAAGGUUAAUAACCUUGUCGAUUGACGUUACCCGCAGAAGAAGCACCGGCUAACUCCGUGCCAGCAGCCGCGGUAAUACGGAGGGUGCAAGCGUUAAUCGGAAUUACUGGGCGUAAAGCGCACGCAGGCGGUCUGUCAAGUCGGAUGUGAAAUCCCCGGGCUCAACCUGGGAACUGCAUUCGAAACUGGCAGGCUAGAGUCUUGUAGAGGGGGGUAGAAUUCCAGGUGUAGCGGUGAAAUGCGUAGAGAUCUGGAGGAAUACCGGUGGCGAAGGCGGCCCCCUGGACAAAGACUGACGCUCAGGUGCGAAAGCGUGGGGAGCAAACAGGAUUAGAUACCCUGGUAGUCCACGCCGUAAACGAUGUCGAUUUGGAGGUUGUGCCCUUGAGGCGUGGCUUCCGGAGCUAACGCGUUAAAUCGACCGCCUGGGGAGUACGGCCGCAAGGUUAAAACUCAAAUGAAUUGACGGGGGCCCGCACAAGCGGUGGAGCAUGUGGUUUAAUUCGAUGCAACGCGAAGAACCUUACCUGGUCUUGACAUCCACAGAACUUUCCAGAGAUGGAUUGGUGCCUUCGGGAACUGUGAGACAGGUGCUGCAUGGCUGUCGUCAGCUCGUGUUGUGAAAUGUUGGGUUAAGUCCCGCAACGAGCGCAACCCUUAUCCUUUGUUGCCAGCGGUUAGGCCGGGAACUCAAAGGAGACUGCCAGUGAUAAACUGGAGGAAGGUGGGGAUGACGUCAAGUCAUCAUGGCCCUUACGACCAGGGCUACACACGUGCUACAAUGGCAUAUACAAAGAGAAGCGACCUCGCGAGAGCAAGCGGACCUCAUAAAGUAUGUCGUAGUCCGGAUUGGAGUCUGCAACUCGACUCCAUGAAGUCGGAAUCGCUAGUAAUCGUAGAUCAGAAUGCUACGGUGAAUACGUUCCCGGGCCUUGUACACACCGCCCGUCACACCAUGGGAGUGGGUUGCAAAAGAAGUAGGUAGCUUAACCUUCGGGAGGGCGCUUACCACUUUGUGAUUCAUGACUGGGGUGAAGUCGUAACAAGGUAACCGUAGGGGAACCUGCGGUUGGAUCACCUCCUU
rnacentral:rRNA from 1 species